AUAGUUGUGUCAGAUUUAAUGAGAUAGCUUUAAGAGCUUUUUAUAGUUUUAAACUCUUCUAUA
rnacentral:tRNA from 1 species